rnacentral:rRNA from 1 species
CAGCAGCCGCGGUAAUACGAAGGGGGCUAGCGUUGCUCGGAAUGACUGGGCGUAAAGCGCACGUAGGCGGCUUGGUAAGUUAGAGGUGAAAGCCUGGAGCUCAACUCCAGAAUUGCCUUUAAGACUGCCGAGCUAGCAGGUGAGAGAGGUAAGUGGAAUUCCGAGUGUAGAGGUGAAAUUCGUAGAUAUUCGGAAGAACACCAGUGGCGAAGGCGGCUUACUGGCUCAUACUGGACGCUGAGGUGCGAAAGCGUGGGGAGCAAACAGGAUUAGAUACCCCCGUAGUCCCUGUCUCUUAUAC